rnacentral:rRNA from 1 species
AUUGAACGCUGGCGGCAGGCCUAACACAUGCAAGUCGAGCGGAUGAAGGGAGCUUGCUCCUGGAUUCAGCGGCGGACGGGUGAGUAAUGCCUAGGAAUCUGCCUGGUAGUGGGGGAUAACGUCCGGAAACGGGCGCUAAUACCGCAUACGUCCUGAGGAAGAAAGUGGGGGAUCUUCGGACCUCACACUAUCAGAUGAGCCUAGGUCGGAUUAGCUAGUUGGUGGGGUAAAGGCCUACCAAGGCGACGAUCCGUAACUGGUCUGAGAGGAUGAUCAGUCACACUGGAACUGAGACACGGUCCAGACUCCUACGGGAGGCAGCAGUGGGGAAUAUUGGACAAUGGGCGAAAGCCUGAUCCAGCCAUGCCGCGUGUGUGAAGAAGGUCUUCGGAUUGUAAAGCACUUUAAGUUGGGAGGAAGGGCAGUAAGUUAAUACCUUGCUGUUUUGACGUUACCAACAGAAUAAGCACCGGCUAACUUCGUG